GUUUGAUAGGUAAGGCUCCUACAGGGAUAUGGGCUGCUGCCGCAAAACGGUGGAGACACCGUGCGCAGGUCUGAACAGGAUGCGUCGCAACAAGGCGCAUCAUAAUGCAGCUACACCGCCCUGCAGAGCUAAAGCUCAGGCGAACG
rnacentral:sRNA from 1 species